rnacentral:rRNA from 1 species
CAGCGCCGCGGUAAUACGAGGGGGCUAGCGUUGUUCGGAUUUACUGGGCGUAAAGGGCGCGUAGGCGGACUGAUAAGUCAGGGGUGAAAUCCCAAGGCUCAACCUUGAAACUGCCUUUGAUACUGUUUGUCUUGAGUUCGAGAGAGGUAAGUGGAACUGCGAGUGUAGAGGUGAAAUUCGUAGAUAUUCGCAAGAACACCAGUGGCGAAGGCGGCUUACUGGCUCGAAACUGACGCUGAGGCGCGAAAGCGUGGGGAGCAAACAGGAUUAGAGACCCCGGUAGUCCCUGUCUCUUAUACAC